AUUGAACGCUGGCGGCAUGCCUUACACAUGCAAGUCGAACGGCAGCAUGAUCUAGCUUGCUAGAUUGAUGGCGAGUGGCGAACGGGUGAGUAAUACAUCGGAACGUGCCCUGUAGUGGGGGAUAACUAGUCGAGAGAUUAGCUAAUACCGCAUACGACCUGAGGGUGAAAGUGGGGGACCGCAAGGCCUCAUGCUAUAGGAGCGGCCGAUGGCUGAUUAGCUAGUUGGUGAGGUAAAGGCUCACCAAGGCGACGAUCAGUAGCUGGUCUGAGAGGACGAUCAGCCACACUGGGACUGAGACACGGCCCAGACUCCUACGGGAGGCAGCAGUGGGGAAUUUUGGACAAUGGGGGCAACCCUGAUCCAGCAAUGCCGCGUGUGUGAAGAAGGCCUUCGGGUUGUAAAGCACUUUUGUCCGGAAAGAAAUCGCACUUACUAAUAUUAGGUGUGGAUGACGGUACCGGAAGAAUAAGGACCGGCUAACUACGUGCCAGCCGCCGCCGUAAGAC
rnacentral:rRNA from 1 species